UUUAUACUCUCCCUCUCUCUCUCUCGAUCUCGAACAGCGAGGACGAUGCUUUAUGGCGAUAAUCUCCCCCCUAAUCAUCAAACUACACUCACGAACGACCUCAAUGAAAAUGUCAUCAAAGAAGGUGGUUCUGGGGUUUGUAUGAUGAGUAACACAUGGAAAGAUGAUCAGCACCCAUCUUUCAUUAACUUCAUAUCCUCCUUCCUGCGUGCAAAUUCUUUCCGUCUUAACUGUGUGCCAGUUGCUCCUGACUUUAUUUUUAACUGUGGAGGUGUGUCAGUGGCUUUUAUGUUUGUAACUAACUGGAACUGUAAUGACACUUCAAUUAUCUUUGCCAGAGUUCAGAAACUGAAGGGGCAGUUUGCAAACCUUUAUGUUGUUGUUACCCUCCCAACAAAGGAGCAGAAUGAUUCCUUCAUUCGCUCUUUUUUCAAAUAUGGAAUGGAGCUUGGAAGGCCAAUAUUUGUGCUAGUUCAAGAUUUAGAGAUGGGUUUUGAGAAAAUUGUCAAGAUUGGGCAUGCUCGUGGGGUAUGCAAGAGGCAGAAUGCCAUAUCUAAACUGAAGGCUGAGAGGGAGGGGUCUGUGCAAGGAAUGGACGUUUUUCUCAGAGUGGUCUCAUCCAUACCUGGCAUUGAUAACCACGAUGCAAAUUCACUUAAUCAAGCCAUUGGUUCAAUUGAAGCAAUAGCUAAAGCAUCCAGAGAAUUUAUCUUGGAAAGUACAGAUCUUUCAGCUGACAAAGCAGACAUCAUAACAAGGUUUUUCAGGGAUCCAAAGUUUUAUCUCAGUUCCAAAAUUAUGUAGUGGAAUUUGUAAUUUCAAACUUGGCAUCUCAAGAUACUCUGCCAGCCUUAAGAAGACAAACACGGGAUAAGGAAGGAGGCGGCACGGUCUCUCCUCUCCACUCUCUCUCUCGCCUUCUCUGUAACUUCUCAGCCCUUCAAAAGCGCACGCUCUCACCGUAAGUUCUCUUUCUCCUAACUUCUAUUCUUCUAUUCUCCGC